ACCCCUAUUACCUUAGUCCCUUAUGGGGCUUAUGGCUUUUCCUUUGUCUUAGGUGGUUGAGAGACAGAACAGUUUGACUUGAGCACUAACUUUCUCAUUCUUAGCAAGUUUCAUAUCAGAGGUUUUGUGAUAUUUUCAAAAGAAAGCUUAAAUGUUCCUCUUAUGGUUCUCUCAUGUCACUCAAAUGGUGUAUGAUUCCUCACCAAGGCAUAUGGUAAGAGUUGCCUUCUCUAUUUCAUCCUAUUUCUAAAAGGCUUAUGUGGAGUUCAAGGUAGGGAUGAAAGGAGAUAGCAUACUUACUUUGUAUGUAUUGCGAAGUCAAAGCUCGGAUCCUUGAAGAGAAGUGUCAUACUCCCAGAUCAAGAUGUGCAAGUGUGAUAUAUGGUGGACUAGGUUGCUCCUUUAUUUGAUAGACUCUCUAUGUAUUGAGACAUGGCUAGCAUUUUUUUCUUCUUUUUUUUUAUAUAUGAGCUUUCAUGUGCUCAAUUUUCUUUUUCUGUGGACUUGCACAUGUCCAUCUUUUUAUUUCAUUUUGCCUAGCCCUUUUGAUGUCUCAUUUACCAAAUAAUGCUUAGAGAGAUGUUCUAACAUUUAGAGUAUGGAGCAACCUAUUUAGUGGAUGCGAAAUACAUGUGGUUGCGUACUUCCAGUGUAGAAGCAGCAUAUAUAUAUGUGGUG
rnacentral:lncRNA from 1 species